AUUGAACGCUGGCGGCAUGCCUUACACAUGCAAGUCGAACGGCAGCACGGGGGCGAACCCUGGUGGCGAGUGGCGAACGGGUGAGUAAUACAUCGGAACGUGUCCUAUCGUGGGGGAGUAGCUCGGCGAAAGCCGGAUUAAUACCGCAUGUGAUCGAGAGAUGAAAGCAGGGGACCGCAAGGCCUUGCGCGAUUGGAGCGGCCGAUGUCGGAUUAGCUGUUGGCGGGGUAAAGGACCACCAAGGCGACGAUCCGUAGCUGGUUUGUAGAGAACGACCAGCCACACUGGGACGUGAGACACGGCCC
rnacentral:rRNA from 1 species